rnacentral:rRNA from 1 species
UACGUAGGGGGCAAGCGUUGUCCGGAUUCAUUGGGCGUAAAGAGCGUGUAGGCGGCCAGGUAGGUCCGUUGUGAAAACUCGAGGCUCAACCUCGAGACGUCGAUGGAAACCAUCUGGCUAGAGUCCGGAAGAGGAGAGUGGAAUUCCUGGUGUAGCGGUGGAAUGCGCAGAUAUCAGGAAGAACACCUAUGGCGAAGGCAGCUCUCUGGGACGGUACUGACGCUGAGACGCGAAAGCGUGGGGAGCGAACAGG